UGACGUUUUUCAGGAGAGAAAAGAUAGACCAUCUUUCACCGAAGGAGUUGCACUCUCAGGUGUCAUAAGAGAAUGACAGGACUGAUUAA
rnacentral:ncRNA from 2 species